rnacentral:rRNA from 1 species
AAGAAGGCCUGCGGGUUGUAAAGCCCUUUCGUUGGGGAAGAAAAGUCUCGACCUAACACGUCGGGACCGUGACGUUACCCAAAGAAGAAGCACCGGCUAACUCUGUGC